UACAGAGGGGGCAAGCGUUAUUCGGAAUUAUUGGGCGUAAAGGGCGCGUAGGCGGCCUGACAAGUGGAAGGUGAAAUCCCUCGGCUUAACCGAGGAACUGCCCUCCAAACUGUCUGGCUUGAGACCGGGAGAGGUGAGUGGAAUUCCCAGUGUAGCGGUGAAAUGCGUAGAUAUUGGGAGGAACACCAGUGGCGAAGGCGGCUCACUGGACCGGUACUGACGCUGAGGCGCGAAAGCGUGGGGAGCAAACAGG
rnacentral:rRNA from 1 species